GAUGGUGUUAUUAUUAUUGGACAUUUUAAUUUCUUCUAGCUUAUUAUGAAGAUGUGUAGGAUUAGAAAGUGAUGUGCACUGUUUGUUUGUUUUCAAUAGGAAAUAUGAUUAAAGAAAGUAGGUGCAACACACAAUUGGAGUUUCAAUGAGUUAUAAUGGUGCCAGAAUAUGAUUUAUCAACAAGAAUUCGGAUCUUUGCUUAACUAGAAAGUUGAUGUGGAG
rnacentral:lncRNA from 1 species